rnacentral:rRNA from 1 species
CCCUACGGGGGGCAGCAGUAGGGAAUAUUGCGCAAUGGGCGAAAGCCUGACGCAGCGACACCGUGUGGAGGAUGAAGGUCUUCGGAUCGUAAACUCCUGUCAAUUGGGGACGAAGGCAGUAGGGUUAAUAGCCCGAAUGCUGACGGUACCUAAUAAGGAAGUCUCGGCUAACUCCGUGCCAGCAGCCGCGGUAAGACGGAGGAGGCAAGCGUUGUCCGGAAUCAUUGGGCGUAAAGAGCGCGUAGGCGGUUUUUCAAGUCAUGUGUGAAAACUUCAGGCUCAACUUGAAGAUUGCAUAUGAAACUGAAAAACUAGAGUAAGGCAGAGGAAAGUGGAAUUCCUGGUGUAGCGGUGAAAUGCGCAGAUAUCAGGAAGAACACCGGUGGCGAAGGCGGCUUUCUAGGCCGUUACUGACGCUGAGGCGCGAAAGCUAGGGGCGCGAACAGGAUUAGAUACCCUAGUAGUCAA